GCAAUUGUUCACAGCAGUGAGUUUGUUAUUUUUUCUAGCAAUACUUUCAAUCCAUAGUCCGUGGACUCUGAGGAUCUGUGGGGCUAUUUCCAGAAUUUUUGAGAUAAGGACUGAAAGAUGAACAUUCUGCAGUCUGUAGGUUUAUAAUCUGUCAGCCUUCCCUGGGAAACUGUCUAUGGAUCCUGAAGCUGCACCCAGUCAAGCCGUAAUUCUCUAUUUUAUGCUACUCCAGAAUGAACAUGUCCCAGACAGUCCACCAGAAAUCUGUUUCAUCCCCAGUCCAGCUAAUUCUUGAUUAUAUGGAAAAAAACUGCAAGCCUGUUUUCUACUAAGAAGCAUAUAAUAUGCUGUCUCAACAUUUAGUCUGCUUCUGUACCUUCAGAUUCUUCAGCUUUUAUGGUUAUCAAAGCAAUUUUCUGGACAGGGCAAGUGGUACUGUUGUUAAACACACUGUCCUUAAGAGCUUUUCAAAACCAAUUUUCUCUGUUAUCGAAGUCCUGAAUUUGACAGUGCUUUGCAAUACCAACUACGCUCUACCCAUAUUUCUCAGCCCUAUAAAGGAAAGCUUCAUAGCCCAUCACUAUAACUCGUGAUAAUAACAGCUCAGUAGAAAAUACCUGCUUUCCUUCUGGAUACGUAGUGCUUAUUGAUUUUAAAUGCAGUGAUUUUUAAGAGCCAUUAAGGUUGAGAUUCUGUCUUUUCUGUUGGCUUUUAAUGUCAAUAUUUUAUGUCACUGCUAGUGACAUUCAGCUCUGAGUACAGGCAAAUACUUCUGAUAAAGCUGUUUUAAAAUAAAAUUAAAACAAAAUAUGAAUAACCAGAAAGGAAUGCCUUUUUAAUAAAAUGGACUGUUUUUCUUGUGAGUAACAAGAAAGGGAUAACUCUCUGAAUUCUUUUGUGAAAAAUUAUGUGUGAAAGAGAGCUGACUUCUUCUGAUGAAAAAAUUAAAAUUAAAAUUAAAAAAACAAAAACCAAAA